UGGGGAAUAUUGGACAAUGGGCGCAAGCCUGAUCCAGCCAUGCCGCGUGAGUGAUGAAGGCCCUAGGGUUGUAAAGCUCUUUCACCGGUGAAGAUAAUGACGGUAACCGGAGAAGAAGCCCCGGCUAACUUCGUGCCAGCAGCCGCGGUAAUACGAAGGGGGCUAGCGUUGUUCGGAUUUACUGGGCGUAAAGCGCACGUAGGCGGACUUUUAAGUCAGGGGUGAAAUCCCGGGGCUCAACCCCGGAACUGCCUUUGAUACUGGAAGUCUUGAGUAUGGUAGAGGUGAGUGGAAUUCCGAGUGUAGAGGUGAAAUUCGUAGAUAUUCGGAGGAACACCAGUGGCGAGGGCGGCUCACUGGACCAUUACUGACGCUGAGGUGCGAAAGCGUGGGGAGCAAACAGG
rnacentral:rRNA from 1 species